CAGUUGAAGCCCCAGAAUGCUGCCCCUGGCAACCACCAGCAAUUGGCUGGAGUGAACACGUUGGAUGAAACCAAGCAGCACACCAGAGUAGAUGUUUCUAUAACUGACUCCAGACCUUCUCACUCCAUAAGUCUAUUCCUCACUGGUACUCGCAGCACCAUGGCCAGGCUGACAAAGGACAUCCAAUGGUCUCGCAUCAUCUUUCACUACAAAGGACGCCCAUCCCAUCACUCAGUGACAAGGGCCCGAGGAGUCGAUAACCUGAGCUCCAUUCUGGUUUCACACCCAAGGCAGCCCAGGGACAUCUCCUCUGAACAAAUAUCAACCUGGAGUCACACCACUCUGCAAAACAGGGAGCAGGUGAGGUGUCGGACUCCUUUUCCUUCCUCCUCACCUCAUUAAGAGCCCCAUUUCCCACUCCCUUGGCAUAUACACAUACUCCUCAGAUUGUUUCCAGAAACUUCUUUCAUUGAAAAGGAAACUUGUGGAUGUGGCUUAGAGGGAGACAUCAGCCCCUUCCGGCCAACACCUGGGAAGGUGGGAGGAGGGUCGAGGCGGAGUCUGAACAUUGGCUCCUCUUUGCCCUGCUGUGUGGCCUGGGGGAAGGUGCUAGCCAUCCUCUCUGGCCUGUUUCCCUUCCCACCUGACAACAACAAUAACA
rnacentral:lncRNA from 1 species